rnacentral:lncRNA from 10 species
AGGUUAUUUCUGGACACAGUAAUCCUUCAGCAAUACAAUUACCAAGUUAUUCAACAUGGAAGGCUUUGCCAAGACAGUGGUGGCUGGGAUUUGACCCUCUAAGUGUGAGCUUUCUGUGCUGAGGCAGAAAAGAGGAAAGCUGGACCACACCCAGCCAGGACUACACGUGCAGGGUCAUCCAUUCCUUUAUUAGCAAAUAUUCAUGAAUGCCCACUAUGUGCAACACACGGUGCUUGGUGCAAGCAUACAGUGAUGAAUCAAGUAGAGAAGGCCCUGCCCUUAUGGAGCUUACAGCCUGGCUGUGAGAUUUUUGGAAAAGAAAAUAAACCUACAGUUAAAAGAAAAAAGAAAACAAUGAAAAUAGAAGCUGAGCUUAGCUGAGGAUAUGAAUAACGAAAAGCAACCACCUUACCGCAAAACAACUCUAAGAAGUAGGAUUAUCAUCACUCAAUUUACAGGCAUCCAUGUCCUCCAGGAUAUAAAGGAAGAAGUUGAGGGAUGGAUGCAGAGUAUACUAUUCUCCACCAUUACAAAUUGGGCACCUUUGCUUUUGAAUGAGUGACCACAGCCCUGGAAACUUGUAUGCUUUGCUAAUUGAGGGCAGAUGAGCCUCAGGUCAAUCCCCCAUCAAUUAUCCACUCAACAACAAUAAAAUGCUAACUUGUAUGCCCUAACCCAGUUUGUUUAAUUAUUUGGAAGUGAUUUUGUAUCUAAACAACCCACACACUGGACAUAAGCAAUCCUGGAUAAAAUAGAAGUUUAUUAAACUCAUCUUCAUAUUUACAUAAAUUAUUUUUUAAAAAGACACCAUCUAGGCCAAGACCAGUUUUAUUUUUCCCUUCAAAGAAUAAUGUUGAGGAUCAAUUUCUCCAGCUUAACAUCACCAGCCUUGGCAGCAGCUCAUAUUUGGAAUAUAAAUGAUGUCAUCUGGUUGGCCUUUUCCCAUCACAAACAGUAAAUCUCUAAAUCUGGAGAGAUCUUUUAUUUGGUUACACAUAUUGUACAGCAUCAAGGGGUUAGAACACAUGUGCUAGAGAUUAUUAAAAUCAUCUGGAGGAGAAUGGCUUAUUAUUGGAAAGCCCAGAACUUAUGACCCUUUCAUGCCUGGUGUCUCCAUCAACUCUUCUUUCGCUCCUACCUUUUCAAAGAAAUAAUUGUGGCCGAUUGGCCCAUGAUUAUUUGCAUACUAAGGUUUUUCUGGUGCACCAUGCCUCUUCUCUGGAAAAAGAUAUCCCUAGCAGAGUAUAGAGAAAGGGGAACAGGAUUAGGAAUCAGAAAGCCAGUCACAGCAACAUGCCAAAAUAUGACUUUGGGUAACACAUUUGAACUCUACUAAUUUCACUCUCUCAUCUAUAAAAUGAAAAUAAUAAUAACCAGCCUCACAGGAAUUUUUUAGAUAGAUAGUUUUUUAAAAAGUCAUUGAAUAUCUGUUUAUCACUGUAUAAUUUGCUAAAAUCUUUCAAUUACAUUAGCAUUAGUCUUACCUAGCACAAGAAAGACACUCAACAGAUAUUUGUUGAAUAGCAUGUAAAUUGGUGAUAUUAUAGUUUGAUGGAUUCUGAGUCGUUAAGGUAUCUAUCACACCUCUGAACUUAGUUUUCUUUAUUUAUAAUGUGUAUUCAACUGUAUCUCUUUUUAGGGUUGUUGUAAGAGAUAAAGAAAAUAACAUACAUGAAGUAUCAGUUUCGGGCACUUUGGUGUGUACUUGAGAAAGAGGUUUCCUUUUCUCUGAUCGCUUCUUCUUUCAGAGCUUCAUUCUUCUCAUUCAACAGAAUUGGUCAUAAUUAUAACAUUCUACUUGUUGAGGAGAUAGCUGUGGGGCAAAGAGAACAGGGGGGCCAAGCUUUGGUCCUAAUUUUCCAUCUUCCCAGUUGUGUGAACUUUGACAAUUUGGGGGAGUCUGUUUCCCCAUUUGAAAAAUAAGGAGCUUGUCUAGAUCUGAAGUUCCCAAAUUUUUGAAGUUUAUAGAGCAAACAAACAAAUAAACAAACAACAACAACAACAACAACAAAAGACCAGUACCAACCAGGAGCCUAACAUAACAUGGUCAAUUUUUUGAUCUGAGAAAUAGAUUUUUGAAAAAUAACUGUCACUUACCAUUACAAUCAUUUCAAAUUAAAGGACAAGGAACUCCAAAAAAGAAAAAAAAGAAAAAUUAUGAAAUAUAAGACAUGACUCUAAAAUGAUUACAUUAACCUCAUGGGGAAAGAUGCUGAAUCGUCUUAUUGUCCUUAUUUUUUUCUCAUUUUUCCACAGACCUGUGAAAACUUGUUGUGGACCAACAUGGGUCUUCAGAGUAGUACUUGGGAACCUGUACUGUUCUGUAUUGUGGACCAACAUGGGUCUUCAGAGUAGCACUUGGGAACCACUGGGAUGCAUGACAUGGAAGGGCUCUUCUAGCACUAUGUCCUGUGAUUCUAUCAUAAUUCCACCAUGGUGAAAAGCUGGGAUACUUAAACAACAGUUUGUUUAGGUGAAAUCAGUAAAACAAUGAUCUGAUUCAGCUAAGAAGCUGAUCCCUGAAGUCAUUUUGCUGAACUGAAUGACUCUAGAUCUUGAUAGGAAGUAUAAUUUAGUCAAAACAAUCUAAAUUGUUAUGUGUGGAUUGACACAUAUGAGUUGUUCCCGCAGGUCUUCAAAAUACUUCCUUGCCCCUAAUGAGGCUGACUCAGGCUUUGUUCCCCACCAACUAUAAAUUGAUAAGUAUCACACUUGUACCUACCUACAUCAAAAUGAGAGAGAUAUGUGAGUGAGCCAAACAUAUCCAAAGCAUUCCUAAUUCAGGCACUAUGUGCUCACCCUGAGGUUAGCUUCUCUGACACCUUCCACUCUCUAAUCUUGAGCCAAAAUAUGUCUCUACACUCUACUGUGGUGAUCUCAAAGUCCCUGUAUGAAUGCCUCAUAUUUUAUCACCAAAAUUCUAAAUAGAGACUCUCUGUUUCAUGGUUAGCACUCAUUUCUACCAAGCUUGAUCAUCUGAGGUGGACCAAAUUAGAAAUAGGCAAGCAAAAUAGAGGUAGGAGAAGCUAUUAAUACAGGUCAGGAAGAGAUUAGUUUUGGCUGGGUGCUGUGGCUCACAGCUGUAAUCCUAGCAUUUUGGGAAGCUGAGGUGGGCGGAUCACUUGAGGUCAGGAGUUUGAGACCAGCCUGGCCAACAUGGUGAAUUUCCAUCUCAACUAAAAAUAGAAAAAUCAGCUGGGCAUAGUGGAAGGCACCUGUAAUCUCAGCUACUUGGCAGGCUGAGGCAGGAGAAUCACUUGAACCCAGGAGGCAGAAGUUGCAGUGAGCUGAGAUUGCACCACUGCACUCCAUCCUGGGCAACAGAGUGAGACUCCAUCUCAAAAAUAAAUAAAUAAACAAAUAUAGACAGGUCAGGAGUUGUGGGUUGUGGCUUUGCUUGACUUCACAGAAGAAAGAGAGAAAAAUCAAACAGAACUAACUGUAAGCUACUGAGGACAAUAAUAGAUGUUCAUAUCUUUGGUUCUAAGUCAUCAAGAAAAGUUUAAACUAUGUACAAGAACCUUCUCAAGGAAGCAGAUAAUUCAUUGAGAUAGAUGCUUGGGGGUGAGGGCAAACCUCAGCUAUCAGGAAAUUCAUCUCAAGUUAGCAAACGUGAAUUCUCCUGUGAUCCUAGGGUAAUGAAGUAGUAACAGCAAUAGAAACAACCAUAAUAAUGGCUGGCUACUGCAUUGUACUCUGCCUCUUAGGAGUACUUCCAUUUUCUCAUUUAAUAUUCAGAUCAACCCCAUGAGGAACAAAUAAUAAUUUUUAUUAUCCACUCAUUUCUCCAAGUGAGGAAAUCAAAGCUCAGCUUGGUUAAGUAGCUUGCCAAGACAGCAGAGCUAGUCAGUGGCAGAGUAAGAAUGCAAACCCUAGUCUUCUAACUUGAAGCCCAGUGCAUUUCCCACCCUCUGAUCUUCUCUCAUCCUUAUAAAUAGCCAUAAGACUAAGUAGUUCAAAAAUAUCUUCUUUCUGGUUCUCAGGCCCAUUACAAAUGCCACUUGCCCUGGGUAGGAAAAUAAAGCCCAAGCUCUUUGCUGGACUAUGUGCUAAGUCCUUGGCGCCCAGAAAUAACCUCCUGGAGACUAUGGGCCUUAUAUUUACCGCAAAGCAGUGGGUAAAUAACUAGUUGGUGUUUUAGUGUUUUGUGGUCACUUAAUCUGUUGUGUUGCUUCCCAAGACUCUGAAGGUUUCCUUUUUCAGUUAAUUCUUAUUUACGUUUCUGAGGUCUGUGUUGUUUUGGGUUUGGUUCAUUGGAUGUUUUUCUUGGAAUGUGUUGCCAUUGGCUUCAGGAUGUUCCUGCUCUGCUAUUUCAUGGAAUUUUCCCCGAGUGUGGAUUGCUAUGUAUUUCUUCGGGGCAGUGAGCCAAGGCAGUGCUGGUAUGUAAUCUGUUCCUCUGGCCAGAAGACUUCUUGUCACCCAUCCACAUGGUGCUUGGUUGUAUUUCUCCACUGAUAAUUCCCCUCCAUCUGUUAAUGUGCAG